UGCCAGACUCCUACGGGAGGCAGCAGUGGGGAAUAUUGCACAAUGGGGGAAACCCUGAUGCAGCGACGCCGCGUGAGUGAAGAAGUAUCUCGGUACGUAAAGCUCUCUCAGCAGGGAAGAAAAUGACGGUACCUGACUAAGAAGCCCCGGCUAACUACGUGCCAGCAGCCGCGGUAAUACGUAGGGGGCAAGCGUUAUCCGGAUUUACUGGGUGUAAAGGGAGCGUAGACGGCAGCGCAAGUCUGAAGUGAAAUGCCGGGGCUUAACCCCGGAACUGCUUUGGAAACUGUGCAGCUAGAGUGCAGGAGAGGUAAGUGGAAUUCCUAGUGUAGCGGUGAAAUGCGUAGAUAUUAGGAGGAACACCAGUGGCGAAGGCGGCUUACUGGACUGUAACUGACGCUGAGGCACGAAGGCCAGGGGAGCGAAAGGGAUUAGAUACCCGAGUA
rnacentral:rRNA from 1 species